rnacentral:lncRNA from 1 species
AUGGACUUGGGGCCCCAGGGUCAUUGCAGCGGGGCGGCGCUGCAAAGGAGGGGAAGCUGCAGCUGGGGCGGUGCGGCAGAAGGGGGGGGCUGCAGCUGGGGCGGUGCUGCAGAAGAGGGGGGGCUGCAGCUGGGCCGGCGCUGCAGAGGGAUGGGGGCUGCAGCUGGGGUGGUGCUGCAGGAGAGGGGGGGGCUGCAGCUGGGGCGGCGCUGCAGAGGGAUGGGGGAUGCAGCUGGGGUGGUGCUGCGGGGGGGGGUUACAGCGAAGGGGGAGUUGCAGCUGGGGGGUUACAGAGGAGGGGGGAUGCAGACAAGGGGGGGCGGGGUCCAGCUUCCCCGCAGCGCCCUCUCAGACUCCCCGCACCCCCGGGCCUUAGACAUCCAUCCCGGACCACCGGCCGAAACGAUGCCCCAGCGAGCUCCUUCUGCAUCCAGCAAACUCUGCCCCAGGCCCGGCGCCUCUGAGGGGCCCGGUGGCGCUGCCGCGGGGGCAGGGGCGGAGGGCAGGGCGGGAGCGGUCAAGGGCACGGCUGCGCCCUAGGCCCCGGCUGCAGCAGCCCCAGAACGGCGGAGGAGUAGCGGAAAGAGGGGCAGGAGGGGCCGCCGCCCUCCGGCCCCCGGACGCGGGAAUCCUCCGGCCCCCGGAGCAGGCGCGGCAGCACGGUCUGGUCCUGUCCGGUCCGGGGCAGCAGCUGGACACUGGCGUGGACCUCGGCUGGGCUCCGCCCGGGAAGGCCGGCCGCCGCCCCGGCAGCGCCCCGGGCCGCAGCCCGGAGCUGGGGGCGGCGGCCGACUCCGACAACGAUGGCGACUGCUCUGGCUCUGGGUGGAGGCUGCGGAGAAAAAGACUGCGGUGGAAGCGGGAGGGGCGCGUCAUGUGACCUCUUAAAGGGGCAGGCCUAAUCUGCUCCCGUAAUCUACUUUCUCUGGGCUGCUCGGCGC